UUUCGAUUCCCAAUCGCAAUUGCAAAUAGUGCAGGGACUCGGAGGGAUUAUUUGAUUAUUUCUUGGAGAAUCUGUCAGACAAGUACACGAAUCGUCGUUCGCCAUUCAGCCAUCUGUGAGAAUAAAACGGAAAUAUCGAUGUUGCAAGUUGCAAAGUAAACGCAGUGAAUGCCUUCGGAUCUAAAAAUGGAAUAAGCGGCCACAUUGCCUCAAUGAGAAUUCUUCCCAUGUCGUCAAAUUUUUCAUUUCCCUUCUCGAAAAGUGGAAUAAAAACUUCGUUUAGAAGUAGUCGGCAGAGAAUUCGACAUUCCUCAACAGUUCCAGUGCAAAGAUUAUAUCUAAAAGGGGAUCCUUCUCGUACCAAAUGAAAGUGUGAAGAAUCGUUGAAAAAUAUCGUCGAAAAGCUGCGCACGGCGUGCCACUUUGUUUAGUAAAUAUGAGAAUAUCUAAAAUCGAUGGUAUUGCCAAUAAUGUCAAUAGUCCCGAGAGUUUAGCUAUCAUCAUCGUGAAGAGAUUAUUGUGAAAGCAAAUUUGGGCAAAUUUGAAUUUCUUCGCAUCAUAAUAAGGAGGUCCACAAGAAGAAAGCGAUCCACCCAUUUUGUCGACUAAUUUGUGAGCAGUCAUGCAAAAAAAAAAGAAGAAGAAGAAGAUGAAGAGAACUUAUUACUCAGGUGCAAAAUGCCGAAAGUGAGUCGAGGUCGUACAGUUUCUACUCAUGUACUUUCAUUAGAAUUAUUGUGGUAUUAGAUUCCACAGUUGCAUUAUACAAUUACAGGAUAACAUUCCAAGGAUAUUUAUUUAAAUUAAGCCAAUUUUAACCUUCAGCUUUUAGAGUCAAUUAAUUUCUCUAUAUAUACAAAAAAAGAUGAACAUACGAAUCUUCAAGGUUUGCUAAAUGUUGAAAUAAAAAUUCAAAAAAAAAAAAAAGAUUUGCAGUU